GACGUUGUACAUGAAACGGGGCAAAUAAAUACCAUGGACUCUAUCCGUCUGUCUAUCCAACCAACUGUAGGAAGGACAGAUACCAGGCUCCACUGGUGUUCAUUCUUAGUUGGUAGAAUUGCAUCUAAAAUCCCGAAUCCUGAGGGAAUUGCUCAGUCAUGAGCGAUCCAGAUGUCUGGUCCGGCUGCCUUCCCUCCUCUCCAGUCUGGAUCUCAUUGAGAGUAAAUUCCCAGCAUCUGGGCACGUGCCUGCUGCACAGAAGAUGAUCUGGCAUUUUCUAAGUGAUGCCUAACUCAGGUUCAUCAAAAACUCAUCAAAUGGAUGCAUGGUACCUCCUCUGGCAUGCCUCAUUCAGCCCAGCAAGAACUCAGAGUGUCAAGACAGUUGAUCAGCGCCAAGGUUGACUGUGGUCGUGAUGUUGAGCUUGUCAAAAUGUUGUGCUUGUCAAAAUGGAUGAAAAUCACUGUGCGUUGCCUCUCAAAGGAAUGGGGAGCUUGCUCUGCCUUCUUGAGGCUGAACCACUCAAACCAUUUGUCUAGAAUUCUCCUGCACAAGAAAUCUAUCUCCUCUCUUUGACCUAAGUGUCUGUAUCAGUGUGAGCUCCUGGGUGUUACUUUAGACUUUGGCUUAAAAUCCAAACCUACUAAA
rnacentral:sRNA from 1 species